rnacentral:rRNA from 1 species
UACGUAGGGAGCAAGCGUUGUCCGGAAUCAUUGGGCGUAAAGCGCGCGUAGGUGGCUCCAUAAGUCCGUUGUGAAAGUCAAAGGCUCACCUUUGAAAGCCGAUGGAUAACUGUGGAGCUAGAGUACGGAAAGAGGCGAGUGGAAUUCCUGGUGUAGCGGUGGAAUGCGUAGAGAUCCGGAAGAACACCGGUGGCGAAGGCGGCCUGCUGGGCAGUAGCCUGACGCGAGGC